AUGACGGGGUCGACGGCAACGAUUCUGUGCCCUGGCCAGGGACUACCAUCUCCAUUGGGAUCUGGGCGACCACUCACUGAUUCACAAGACAUGCCAAUGUUUGAUCUGAAAUCAUAUAUUUAUGUUAUAUAUAUGCCAAGGCAUCACAUCUACACAAUGCGAAUAAUGGGAUUCUUUGAGGAUCUUGUUCUUUUCCUUGUCCUGCUCGUUUCAGCUGAUUUGGUUAGGAUGAUAAAUUUACCUAACCUGCCUUGGUGCUGCCGUCUAUUUGAACUCAGGACAUCACCUGCCACCACCGCUCAUUGGAUGAGGAAUUUUGCCUCAUAUGACAUGGCUCUUCCCCGCCCUAUGUGGGUUCCGUUGAACAUUCUUAACAUCCUUGGUCCACACGCCCCGUCGUCCUUGUUGAAGCAUGUCUGGUCAUGUUCUCUAACCCGGCAUCCUACCGCAUCCCCGUGGCCUACACUGCUGCUGGAUCAGCAGGACCUCUUCAACAUGGCCUACGACAACAUCGCCAUGCAAUAUUCCAACAACGCCAUUGAUUGGGUGACGGAUUGUGGCACCUCCUCACAUGUCACAGGUCAGCAAGCUUUGAUGUGGAGGAUUUGGACGAUUCUCAUGCGCUCCAGUAGCCUUGGGUCGCUCUACACCUUCCAUGGUGAUUCGGUCCACACCUCGGCAGUUACUUGGUCCCAGCACAAGUUGUGGCACUAUAUGUCAUUGAUCGUAGUCGCCGUCAUCACCCCGUUAGGGCAUGGACUGUGGAGGCGUCACUUUUCUAGUGCCUCACGCUCCAUCAAAGAAAAACCGGUUCAAACACCAUCAAUAGCAUCUACCACCACCGAUCCCAGCUCCCGACAACCACCACCUCAACCGGUUUUGACUACAGUCAACGCUGAUGGGGCAUGCAAACUCAGCAGCAAAACCCAUCUCACCAUAGGGAUUAAAAAUCAGGGUCGUUUUUUUCUUUCACUCAGCUCCAACCUCGACCCCCUGCUUCUCCAGCAGCUGGAGUCGCCUCCGCUGCCUCACUUGACUCCGGCCACCGACGGAGACCGGCAACUGCAUCUCGGCCGCAGUCAUGUGCGGCUCGUCCAAGCCCGCUCCCUCUCAUAG
rnacentral:rRNA from 1 species